GAUGAACGCUGGCGGCGUGCCUAAUACAUGCAAGUCGAACGAGUGGCGGACGGGUGAGUAAUGUCUGGGAAACUGCCUGAUGGAGGGGGAUAACUACUGGAAACGGUAGCUAAUACCGCAUACCAUCGGAUGUGCCCAGAUGGGAUUAGCUAGUAGGUGGGGUAACGGCGCACCUAGGCGCCGAUCCCUAGCUGGUCUGAGAGGAUGACCAGCCACAGUGGGACGUGGACACGGUCCGUACGCCUACGGGAGGCAGCAGUGGGGAAUAUUGCACAAUGGGCGCAAGCCUGAUGCAGCCAUGCCGCGUGUAUGAAGAAGGCCUUCGGGUUGUAAAGUACUUUCAGCGGGGAGGCGUUACCCGCAGCAGAAGCACCGGCUAACUCCGUGCCAGCAGCCGCGGUAAUAC
rnacentral:rRNA from 1 species